rnacentral:rRNA from 1 species
GGGGUAGUGGCCUACCAAGCGACGACGGGUAGCCGGCCUGAGAGGUGACCGGCCACACUGGGACUGAGACACGGCCCAGACUCCUACGGGAGGCAGCAGUGGGGAAUAUUGCGCAAUGGGCGAAAGCCUGACGCAGCGACGCCGCGUGGGGGAUGACGGCCUUCGGGUUGUAAACCUCUUUCAGCAGGGACGAAGCGCAAGUGACGGUACCUGCAGAAGAAGCACCGGCCAACUACGUGCCAGCAGCCGCGGUAAUACGUAGGGUGCAAGCGUUGUCCGGAAUUAUUGGGCGUAAAGAGCUCGUAGGCGGUUUGUUGCGUCGGCUGUGAAAUCCCGAGGCUCAACCUCGGGUCUGCAGUCGAUACGGGCGGACUUGAGUUCGGCAGGGGAGACUGGAAUUCCUGGUGUAGCGGUGAAAUGCGCAGAUAUCAGGAGGAACACCGGUGGCGAAGGCGGGUCUCUGGGCCGAUACUGACGCUGAGGAGCGAAAGCGUGGGGAGCGAACAGGAUUAGAUACCCUGGUAGUCCACGCCGUAAACGUUGGGCGCUAG